AGAACCACCAUCCACAUCCCAGAUCUGAUGGACGCGGUGGCCAGAACACCCAUCGCCGAUGACUCACCUGACCGUGGUGGGCUCGAAACUAGGUUCUCUGGGACCGGAUCUGGUGUUUGGCGGCGGCAACCAGAACCACCACGAGUACCACGGCGGCCGCACCACCAACUCCGGCAUCAAUGGCCUGAGCCGCAUGAAUCUCCGGCCACUGCGAGACAUGGAACUCCAUUUAGUAGGGCACCAACUAUGAUGACCAGGUUGAUCGUUUUGAUCCAGGAUUUGGAAUUAGUUGAAGAUGGUCAAAAUAACAGGACAAAUAGUGUGUAGGCUAUGACUUCUCCUGCUCCUCAUUGCCAGAUGAUCAAUAGAGAAGGAGGGGCAGGAGCGACAACAACAUAAGUUGGACCACAUGCCUGGUGGCAUGGAAGUACAAAAGAAAAAUAUCAAAUUCAUAUACUCUGCUCCGUCGCGGCUAUCUCAACUACGGCGUGAGUGUACUGUUGGUGUUCAAGAGCGGCUUCGACUACUCCUCUACUUGGGUGUGGUAAGGGUUUUUGGUUCUCCUCUGGUUUUGUGCUUUUUGUAGUCCAGCUAUCGAGCAGUGUUUUUGUCUGUCUGCACAUGUUCAGGAAGAAUCAUUCCAUCGCAAAUAGAAUUUCUUUAGUCUAGAUAUGGUUAGAAAGACAAUUAUUCUUGGAUAUAUUGACUCCAUAUCAUCAUCUGUUGAAUGUACAUAACUACAUAUCAUCAUCUGUUGAUCAUACCUUGUUUCUUUUUGUGCAUCAUUGGCUUAUUCUAUCUUGCAAAGAUGCCGGGCAAUUACAAAUGUAACUUGAUUUUCUAGGCUAUACAAGGUAUUUGUUCUUUCCAGAUGAACAAGUACUAAAGUAGUUAUCAGCAAAGUACGUCGCUCAAAUUAUGUACUCAAAUAAUUUUAUCCGCUAUUGGUGAAGUGCAGCGGUCAGGCGCCUAGAGCCGGCGUAGGAUGGGGCGAAAGACCGGGUUGGCCUUGAGCUAGCAGUGGAUGUCCGCAGCAACGUGGAGCGACUUUGAUAUCCAUGAUGUUGCCAUUACUUAAAACAAGAACAUUCAUUACUACGUAUUGUUGUAGGUAUAGGGUCACCCGGACAUCUACAAUUUAGAUGAGAUGACAAGCUUUAAAAAAAGGCCAUCCCUCUAGCUGCAUAUUCUGAUGUCUGGUCUCAUGGAAGAUGAUUCGUCUUGGGAGGCUCAUUCAUUUGAGCGCAUUAGAGUUCCUCCAUUCAACUUUCAAGUUGUUUCCGAGGCUAUCAAUGAAGGAAACUAACUCCCAUUUUCAUUGGACAUUGUUGUUCGUGAUGAUAUCCUGGAGAAAAUUUUCACCUUCUUGCCAAUAACAAGCAUGAUAUGGUCAACAACAGUAUGCAAGAGAUGGAAUGGUAUUAUCAACUCAAGCAGGUUUCUUUGGACGCACAUGUUGCCUCAGAGGCCAUGGUACUUCAUGUUCACCUGUAAUGAGACUUCUUCUGGGUAUGCUUAUGGCCCCAUCCUCCGUAAAUGAUGUAAUAAAGUGGUAUGGGGGUCAUGUGACUGGUUCUGUUAGUUAAAAGACGGCGAAUCUACAAGAAUCACAGACCAUGAGCUCUCCAGUUAAAGUUAAAAAAGAGGUGACUAUUCACCAAUGGAUUCUUCUCCUUAUCAGGCAGCAGUUGAACACGUGUCAAGAGAGGCAUCUUUGGCUUUGUGAUCCGUCCAUUCACAUACUUGAUAGCAGCGUCUCGAAUCAGCAGACCAGUUGUGCUGAAGAUGAUCUAGUAUCUGCUAAGCACCUUGUUAUCGAGGCAGACCUUCCAACAUGUCAAGAUGAAGGCAGAGAUCCCACUGUGGAUGCAUCUGAGAAUAAUUUUGGUAGCAACUUCUCUAGUUUCGAUGAAGAAAUAAAUUUCUGUGAUGUAUCACAGCCCCUUUUCACUAAUAUGAGUGUUGACCCUAACGCUAAACCUAAA